GCGCCAGUGGUCUAGUGGUAUGACAUCUGUUUGACGUACAGAGGAUCGGGAGUUCAAUUCUCCUCUGGCGCA
rnacentral:tRNA from 1 species